UAGCAACUGCCCCUUGACAGAAACCCUUGUGGUAUGGGGGCAGGGCAGUCCAGUACAGGGUCAUAAGUGAAGCUGAACAAAACCGUCGGUUGAGUUGUACGCAUCGUAGUAGGCAGAUGUUUUGCCAAGUCUUUAACCCCUA